AUUGAACGCUGGCGGCAGGCUUAACACAUGCAAGUCGAGCGGAGAUGAGGUGCUUGCACCUUAUCUUAGCGGCGGACGGGUGAGUAAUGCUUAGGAAUCUGCCUAUUAGUGGGGGACAACAUUCCGAAAGGAAUGCUAAUACCGCAUACGUCCUACGGGAGAAAGCAGGGGAUCUUCGGACCUUGCGCUAAUAGAUGAGCCUAAGUCGGAUUAGCUAGUUGGUGGGGUAAAGGCCUACCAAGGCGACGAUCUGUAGCGGGUCUGAGAGGAUGAUCCGCCACACUGGGACUGAGACACGGCCCAGACUCCUACGGGAGGCAGCAGUGGGGAAUAUUGGACAAUGGGGGGAACCCUGAUCCAGCCAUGCCGCGUGUGUGAAGAAGGCCUUAUGGUUGUAAAGCACUUUAAGCGAGGAGGAGGCUACCGAGAUUAAUACUCUUGGAUAGUGGACGUUACUCGCAGAAUAAGCACCGGCUAACUCUGUGCCAGCAGCCGCGGUAAAAC
rnacentral:rRNA from 1 species